rnacentral:rRNA from 1 species
CCGUGAUAAUGUAGCAUAAUCACUCGCCAUUUAAUUGGUGGAUAGUAUGAAUGGUUGAACGAAUAUCCCACUGUCUUAAAGAAAAUUAAAGGAAAUUGAAAUAAUAGUUAAGAUGCUAUUUUAAACUGUAAGACGAAAAGACCCUAUAGAGCUUAACUAUAAUCUCUAUUUAAGUAAUUGAAUAAUAUUUCAUAAAUAAUAGAGACUGGUAGUUUAGUUGGGGCGACUAUCUUCUAAAUAAAACGAAGACAAGCAAUGUUAAUAAGUAACUUAUUGUAUAAUAAAUUUAUUUAACAAUUAUAAAAAUAGGCUAUAAUGACCCGUUAAUUCUUAGUAAAAAGAUUAACGAUCAAUUGAUAAAAGCUACCUUAGGGAUAACAGGAUAAUUUCAUUUUAGAGUUCCUAUCGAAAAUGAAGUUUGUCACCUCUAUGUUGAAUUAAGAUAUCCCGGUAAUGCAGAAGUUACCAACGGUAGGUCUGUUCGACCUUUAAAAUCUUUAAAGCAU